rnacentral:rRNA from 1 species
AGAGUUUGAUCCUGGCUCAGGAUAAACGCUGGCGGCGUGCAUGAGACAUGCAAGUCGAACGGACGAUUCGGGCUUGCUCGAAUCGUUAGUGGCGGACGGCUGAGUAACGCGUAGGUGACCUGCCCCGAAGUGGGGAAUAACUGCCCGAAAGGGUGGCUAAUACCGCAUGUGGUCGCACGUUCGGUCGUGCGAGUAAAGCCGCAAGGCGCUUCGGGAGGGGCCUGCGUCCGAUUAGCUCGUUGGUGGGGUAAUGGCUCACCAAGGCGACGAUCGGUAGGUGGUCUGAGAGGACGAUCACCCAGACUGGGACUGAGACACGGCCCAGACUCCUACGGGAGGCAGCAGUCGGGAAUUUUGCUCAAUGGGCGAAAGCCUGAAGCAGCAACGCCGCGUGAGGGAUGAAGGCCUUCGGGUCGUAAACCUCUUUUGCCGGGGACGAUAAUGACGGUACCCGGUGAAUAAGCCACGGCUAACUACGUGCCAGCAGCCGCGGUAAUACGUAGGUGGCAAGCGUUGUCCGGAUUUACUGGGCGUAAAGAGCGCGCAGGCGGUCGUAUAAGUCGAAUGUGAAAGCCCCUGGCUCAACUAGGGAGAGUCAUUCGAUACUGUUCGACUCGAAGGCAGGAGAGGGAAGUGGAAUUCCGGGUGUAGUGGUGAAAUGCGUAGAUAUCCGGAGGAACACCAGUGGCGAAGGCGACUUUCUGGCCUGUUCUUGACGCUGAGGCGCGAAAGCUAGGGGAGCAAACGGGAUUAGAUACCCCAGUAGUCC